rnacentral:rRNA from 1 species
UACGUAGGGGGCUAGCGUUGUCCGGAUUUAUUGGGCGUAAAGGGCGCGUAGGCGGCCUGCUAAGUCGAACGUGAAAUCCCCGGGCUCAACCCGGGAACUGCGUCCGAUACUGACAGGCUUGAAUCCGGGAGAGGGAUGUGGAAUUCCAGGUGUAGCGGUGAAAUGCGUAGAUAUCUGGAGGAACACCGGUGGCGAAGGCGGCAUCCUGGACCGGUAUUGACGCUGAUGCGCGAAAGCCAGGGGAGCAAACGGG